UGGAUCUGAGAGACUUCG
rnacentral:snRNA from 1 species